rnacentral:rRNA from 1 species
CCUACGGGUAGCAGCAGUGGGGAAUAUUGGACAAUGGGCGAAAGCCUGAUCCAGCCAUGCCGCGUGUGUGAAGAAGGCCUUCGGGUUGUAAAGCACUUUCAGUGGGGAAGAAAGCCUUGGGGCUAAUACCCUCGAGGAAGGACAUCACCCACAGAAGAAGCACCGGCUAACUCCGUGCCAGCAGCCGCGGUAAUACGGAGGGUGCGAGCGUUAAUCGGAAUUACUGGGCGUAAAGCGCGCGUAGGCGGUCUGAUAAGCCGGUUGUGAAAGCCCCGGGCUCAACCUGGGAACGGCAUCCGGAACUGUCAGGCUAGAGUGCAGGAGAGGAAGGUAGAAUUCCCGGUGUAGCGGUGCAAUGCGUAGAGAUCGGGAGGAAUACCAGUGGCGAAGGCGGCCUUCUGGACUGACACUGACGCUGAGGUGCGAAAGCGUGGGUAGCAAACAGGAUUAGAUACCCGGGUAGUC